CAAAUGUAAAAUCGGUGCAAACUUGAGGGGUGAAAAUUGUAAUUUCUCAGAUAUUGUAUUAUCCAAAAAAUUAUCCCCAAAAUUAUUACCGUCUGAAAACGAAAAAAAGCUUUCUAGUUCUAAUGAAAGCGUUCAAGAAACUUUCAAAUGGUUGAAACAGCGCUUUCUGCGUCUGUGUUCUUCUUCUGCGAUUCAUUGACGAACUCUACAGAUUCGAAAUUAAUUUUGUCAAGAGGAAAAAAAAAUGCAGACCUCUGUGGAUGGGAAUCAAUCAAGUAAUGAAAUCGCGGGAGCUGAUCAGAAUAUACUGAAUUUAUUGGACUCCAUGGAUAAUUACCUAAUCCUUGUCGAUUCAUUAUCUUCAUCUCUUCGCCAGGGAUGGCUGGAGUUAGCCAGUGCUCGAUAUUCGAUGGGUGCUUCUCGAGUCAACAGCUCUUUGUUUGACCUCAAAUCUCACCAAGCUUCAACUACAUUGCAAGUAGACAAUGGUGGCAUCGAUACGGAGCUACCAUGCUUCACUCUGUGCAAAUGGACGUCGUCUGACGAAGCCAAACUUGAGGAGGAUGAGUUGUUGAAGAACAAGUCUGAUAGUCCACCAGUUCAACAUCUGGAGUCUGAAGAGAGAAAGGCAGAAGAAUCGGGAUCGCCGGUUACUGCUAAUAAUCAUGUUGAGAAAGAAAGAUUUAAAUCCCUCUCUAUGUUUGGAACACUCGUCUCUCCUAAGCUUCGUGCAACCCAAUCAACAUUCGAGACAACUUUGGAGACGCUGGUAGAAAUGUCGAAUUUAAGGGCUUCUUUGCUUUGUGCUUACGAUCACGUGCAGAAGGAUCGGAAGACCGAUUAAUAACUGCGAUCGACUGAACAUCGUGUUCAAAAAUUGUCCUCAUCCCACACGAUUUCUUCUGCGCCUCAGUUCAGGAGCCGGUUGCAUAAAAAUUUGCUUCGGCGGUGUUUGUUGCUGGUCCAGUGAGUGGUGGUAUCUCUAUUCCUUGCUCUAUGUGAUAUGCCUGAACGCGAAGACUGCGGAAAGAACUAUUUAAUUUAUGAAAAACUACGGUUCUUCGAUGUUGAUCACCAUUUGUUAAAACAAAUUUUCGGUUUGCUUCGCGAAUUACCUGCUAAAUUUAUUCCUCAUGCAUAACAAGUUCACCUACAUCCUUCAUUUGAUUAUUUUUAAUUAUUCGAUCCAUCUAA